rnacentral:lncRNA from 1 species
UUGCAAUUGAGGAUAUGCAUUGCCAAUACAUGAAAACAGGACAAAAAAUGUCGCUUGAAGCAGUGGGCCUAGCCAAUUAAUUAAUCAAAUCAUGCCAAUAGAAGAAAGGGGGUGGGGAAUAAAGAACGUGGGAGGUCGCACUCUUAAUUAGAUUAUUGUGACCCAGUAUGUCGGAAUUGAGGGUAGCAAGUGUCCCAAUAUACUCGCACCAAAUAAUAAUUUGGAGGAAGCAAAGCAUUGGUGUAGUAAUUAAACCAAAAUAGAUGGUCCAUGUAUAGCUAGAGCGAGUACACUACUGGUGUUUAUCUACCUUACUGAUGGUCUUACGCAGUGUUACUAAUAUCUUGAGAUUACUUGACAAAAAAAA